GAUGAACGCUGGCGGCGUGCCUAACACAUGCAAGUCGAGCGAACAGACGAGGCGCUUGCUCCUUUGACGUUUGCGGCGGGCGGGUGAGUAACACGUGGAUACCCUACCUAUCAGACUGGGAUCAUUUCGGGAAACCGGCUAUAACCCCGGAUAAUAUCUUGAACCGCGUGGGUCAAUAGUGAAAGACGGCUUUGCUGUCUCUACUAGCUGGUUACGAGCUGCAUUAGCUAGUUGGUAAGGUAACAGCUUUCUACGGCGACGAUGCGUAGCCGACCUAAGAGGGUGAUCGGCCACACUGGAACUGAGACACGGUCCAGACUCCUGCGAGAGGCAGCAGUAGGGAACCGUCCGCAAUGGGCGAAAGCCUGACAGAGCAACGCCGCGUGAGUGAUGAAGGUCUUCGGAGCGUAAAGCUCUGUUAUUAGUGAAGAACAAAUGUGUAAGUAACUAUGCACGUCUUGACGGUACCUGAUCAGAAAGCAACGGCUAACUACGUG
rnacentral:rRNA from 1 species